CCAGGUUUGUGACGGUCUCGCGGGGACGUCCGCUCCUCAUCCAGCGUGGGCUGGUUGGAGAUCAGACGGGAGACUCUGGGCUGGAGGCACCGCGAGUACCCCUGGGGGAGUCCGUAGAGGGGUCAGAGAGCACGGGUCUUUGCACAGUGAGGGUUGAAUAAGCCGGCUCUCUCUUAGUCGAGCCCCGAUCCCCAAGUUCUUUACCCUCAGAAGAAAGGGCCCGUUCACGUUUGCGGAAACGCGUGGGGCGCCCGGCGUCCGCUCGCCUCUUGAGCCGCUCUCGGCCCGCUGGAGGAUGUCGAUUGGAUCGAUCAUCGGAAUGUUUUAGAACUUCCCCUUCGGCCGGAAUGAGGCCUUAUCCAAAACAUUUUGUCAAAAACAAUGAAGCUAAUUUUGCUUUCCAAGGUUAGGUGAUUUCGUAGGUUGCAGGACCAUGGUUGGGAAUUUCUGGGGAAUAUGUACAGAACGCAUCCCCCAACCCUACCCCUCAAAAAGCGAUUCAGUGGGACUCGGGAUGGGACCCGGUAAUCUGCAAGUGUAGCAAAUGGCUAACCACGGUAGACACGUGCAUGUAAUUACCUUCUCUUGUCGCUUUAGCGGACUAAAAGAUGACUCCUUGAUAUCGAUUGGCAUUGAUUUGACAACUAGAGACUCACAGUUGGACAAACUUGAUCUUUCUUAACUAAUUUAAUCAAAGGAGAAUUUGUGCCCGGUGUGUUUGAAGAGGCAAAACUUCUGGUCAUACUGUUUUGAGCUCAGAUCUCCUGAACACAUGAUGAGAAAGACAUUUGCGUUAAACCCAUGUUAAGUUAUUACAUAAAAAAUCUGUGCUUUAAAGUAUGGUGGCUAAUUUACAGACUUCAUCCUUCAUUGUUGAUUCAAACAAAUGCGUGAAAUACUUCUUCCUACUCCCACUCCCCCAAAUUAUGGAUGCACAACUGUUGGCGAGUCAUUGUUCCCCCACAGACAUGGGGCCAGGCAUGACUUCCAGCUGCCAUAAAACAAUGACCACACUUGGUCGUAGAACCAGAUGCCAAAUAUCUGUCUUCUAUCAACUAGGAUCAAAAUGAAGACCACUAGAUAACAUACAACAUACAACCUAAACAAAG